rnacentral:rRNA from 1 species
GACGAACGCUGGCGGCGUGCCUAACACAUGCAAGUCGAGCGGAGAUGUACUGAAGAUUUAUCGGAUGUACAUCUUAGCGGCGGACGGGUGAGUAACGCGUGGGCAACCUGCCUUUCACUGGGGGAUAACACAGGGAAACCUGUGCUAAUACCGCAUGACAUCACGUAGGGCAUCCUAUGUGAUCAAAGGAGAGAUCCGGUGGAAGAUGGGCCCGCGUCCAAUUAGCUGGUUGGUGAGGUAAAGGCUCACCAAGGCGACGAUUGGUAGCCGAACUGAGAGGUUGAUCGGCCAAUUGGGACUGAGACACGGCCCAGACUCCUACGGGAGCAGCAGUGGGAAUAUGCGCAAUGGGGGGAACCCUGACGCAGCAACGCCGCGUGAAAGGAAGAAAGGUCUUCGGAUUGUAAACUUCUUUGAUGAGGGACGAAAUAAAGUAGACGGUAACCGUCAAAAAAACCGAAGACCCAACGGGACGUAAACCUAACGGUAGUCCCGAAGCGAAGCCGGACGGUUAAAACUAACCCGAACCGUACC